ACGGCAUGUCUAGUAUAGCAUUAUACCGCGAAACUGCGAAUGGCUCAUUAUAUAAGUUAUCGUUUAUUUGAUAAUACUUUACUACUUGGAUAACCGUGGUAAUUCUAGAGCUAAUACAUGCUGAAAAUCCCGACUUCGGAAGGGAUGUAUUUAUUAGAUUAAAAACCAAUGCCCCUCGGGGCUCUCUGGUGAAUCAUGAUAACUAGUCGAAUCGACAGGCCUUGUGCCGGCGAUGGCUCAUUCAAAUUUCUUCCCUAUCAACUUUCGAUGUUUGGGUAUUGGCCAAACAUGGUGGCAACGGGUAACGGAGGGUUAGGGCUCGACCCCGGAGAAGGAGCCUGAGAAACGGCUACUACAUCCAAGGAAGGCAGCAGGCGCGCAAAUUACCCAAUCCCGACACGGGGAGGUAGUGACAAUAAAUACUGAUACAGGGCUCUUUUGGGUCUUGUAAUCGGAAUGAGUACAAUUUAAAUCCCUUAACGAGGAACAAUUGGAGGGCAAGUCUGGUGCCAGCAGCCGCGGUAAUUCCAGCUCCAAUAGCGUAUAUUAAAGUUGUUGUGGUUAAAAAGCUCGUAGUUGAACCUUGGGCCUGGCUGGCCGGUCCGCCUCACCGCGUGCACUGGUCCGGCCGGGCCUUUCCCUCUGCGGAACCCCAUGCCCUUCACUGGGUGUGGCGGGGAAACAGGACUUUUACUUUGAAAAAAUUAGAGUGCUCAAGGCAGGCCUAUGCUCGAAUACAUUAGCAUGGAAUAAUAGAAUAGGACGUGUGGUUCUAUUUUGUUGGUUUCUAGGACCGCCGUAAUGAUUAAUAGGGACAGUCGGGGGCAUCAGUAUUCAAUUGUCAGAGGUGAAAUUCUUGGAUUUAUUGAAGACUAACUACUGCGAAAGCAUUUGCCAAGGAUGUUUUCAUUAAUCAGGAACGAAAGUUAKGGGAUCGAAGACGAUCAGAUACCGUCGUAGUCUUAACCAUAAACUAUGCCGACUAGGGAUCGGACGAUGUUACAUUUUUGACGCGUUCGGCACCUUACGAGAAAUCAAAGUGCUUGGGCUCCAGGGGGAGUAUGGUCGCAAGGCUGAAACUUAAAAGAAAUUGACGGAAGGGCACCACCAGGGGUGGAGCCUGCGGCUUAAUUUGACUCAACACGGGGAAACUCACCAGGUCCAGACACAAUGAGGAUUGACAGAUUGAGAGCUCUUUCUUGAUUUUGUGGGUGGUGGUGCAUGGCCGUUCUUAGUUGGUGGAGUGAUUUGUCUGCUUAAUUGCGAUAACGAACGAGACCUUAACCUGCUAAAUAGCCCGUAUUGCUUUGGCAGUACGCCGGCUUCUUAGAGGGACUAUCGCUCAAGCCGAUACUU
rnacentral:rRNA from 1 species